GGUGUGGUCGGUAACCUGCACUUUGCAGGCCCUGUGGCAGGGGCGCGCCAUCAAUCACAACGAUGCCCACGGGCAUGAAUGGAGA
rnacentral:sRNA from 1 species